GCACUGCUGAAUAGUCCCUUAAUAGGACGAAACGGCCGUCCAAUGC
rnacentral:hammerhead_ribozyme from 1 species